UAGGCUUGACGGUGCUUAUGCUUAGA
rnacentral:piRNA from 1 species